GCAGUUUUAUUUCAAUGAAAAAUCUCGCUGCUUUUUUUCUGGUAUUUGAUUGCCCAGCAUUUUGUUCCUUUUCUUCUCUGGUUGGCUGCUGGGUGUGGUGCAGUCUCCUGCUUCAUCAUUUUGCAUUCUCUCCUUGGUCCUAGGUGUUCUUUCAGCCAGGACCAGGGCCUUCCUGCCCCAGCAAAGCUCAUCCACCUGUGGGUCCAGAAACUCCAUCUGUCCUCAGCACGCUUUUUGAACACUGGCUCACUUCAGAGCCGUAAAUGCCGAGCUUCAAGAUUGUCUUUGCUGACCUAUAACUUUGGAAGGCUACAGAAGGCUCCUGAAGCAUCCAAAAGAGGUAAAGAAAACUUUAUAAGGUUCACUGAGGACAGUCAGUCUCUUCACAAUCUAGAACGCGAAGACUGGAUCUUCUGGGAAUAUCAGAGAAAGACUGCCCUGGCCAUCCACACUGCAACAAAACUGUGGAACCUUGAACUUUGGGUUCUUAAUCUCACAACUGAGAAGGGUCCCUCACAAUCUUAGAACUGUUAACGAAAAGCUAAUCAGGAAAGUGUUUCCCAGGAAGAAGGUGGCAUCCUUGAUGUGAACAGCUUUUCCCAAGAUCAUGGAUCAAGACUUCUCUGCUAUUAUGAGACUCUUAUCUUUGAAUAUUUUUCCUUAUCUAUGCCUCUAUGAAUAAUAGAAAUGAAAAGAGGGUCUGUUGUGCAAACUUAUGGGCUCUGUGUUUUUUGUGAAGGAUUUUGCAGCCAGCCUUAUACAUGGAUAAGCUUAUACUUUGAUAGAUAAAAGAUAAAGGCCCAGUGCAGGUGAGAAACUUUAGUGGUACAUGUUGCCUCAUAAUCAGUCAGAAACAGAACAUCAAUUCACUCCUCAUCAUGAGUUAAAGAGAACCUUGCCAGGAGGCAUUCAAUCCUUUUUUUUUUUUUUUUUUUU